rnacentral:rRNA from 1 species
CUGCCUGGUAGUGGGGGAUAACGUCCGGAAACGGACGCUAAUACCGCAUACGUCCUACGGGAGAAAGCAGGGGACCUUCGGGCCUUGCGCUAUCAGAUGAGCCUAGGUCGGAUUAGCUAGUUGGUGGGGUAAUGGCUCACCAAGGCGACGAUCCGUAACUGGUCUGAGAGGAUGAUCAGUCACACUGGAACUGAGACACGGUCCAGACUCCUACGGGAGGCAGCAGUGGGGAAUAUUGGACAAUGGGCGAAAGCCUGAUCCAGCCAUGCCGCGUGUGUGAAGAAGGUCUUCGGAUUGUAAAGCACUUUAAGUUGGGAGGAAGGGCAGUAAAUUAAUACUUUGCUGUUUUGACGUUACCGACAGAAUAAGCACCGGCUAACUCUGUGCCAGCAGCCGCGGUAAUACAGAGGGUGCAAGCGUUAAUCGGAAUUACUGGGCGUAAAGCGCGCGUAGGUGGUUCGUUAAGUUGGAUGUGAAAUCCCCGGGCUCAACCUGGGAACUGCAUUCAAAACUGACGAGCUAGAGUAUGGUAGAGGGUGGUGGAAUUUCCUGUGUAGCGGUGAAAUGCGUAGAUAUAGGAAGGAACACCAGUGGCGAAGGCGACCACCUGGACUGAUACUGACACUGA